rnacentral:rRNA from 1 species
AUGAACGCUGGCGGCGUGUCUUAGGCAUGCAAGUCGAACGCUUCGUGUAGAGUAGCAAUAUUUUGCACGGGGAGUGGCAAACUGGUGCGUAACACCCUGGUAACCUACCCUGAAGUUCGGAACAACUCACCGAAAGGCGAGCUAAUACCGGAUGUGAUCAUCGAACGAUAGUUUGAUGAGGAAAGCCCGCAAGGGCGCUUUAGGAGGGGCCUAGGUUCCAUCAGCUUGUUGGUAGGGUAACGGCCUACCAAGGCUAUGACGGAUAGGGGGGGUGAGAGCGCGACCCCCCUCACUGGGACUGCGACACUGCCCAGACUCCUACGGGAGGCUGCAGUCAAGAAUCUUCCCCAAUGGACGAAAGUCUGAGGGAGCGACGCCGCGUGUAGGAAGAAGCCCUUCGGGGUGUAAACUACUUUUCUAUGGGACGAACACUGACGGUACCAUAGGAAUAAGGGGCUGCUAACUCUGU